CACGCAAUCACCGCUUCCGAAGUCCUCACGUCACCCAGUAUUUGAUCUUCUCUUUUCCCAGCCUUUUUCCAAUCUUCAUCUUAAUCUUCUAAUGUUGCUGGUUUUGGCUUUGCGCCGGUCUCUGCAAAGUUGGGUGUGUGGUGAUGGACCAUUCAAGCUCCACGGUGGGUUCGCUCUCCGCCUCACCGUCACGUCGAGCGCGGAGCGCGACUGGGCUUCAGGGAGAGUGAGAGAGAGAUGGCCUCCAGUACGCGGCUGGUAUAUUCUGCAAUCACAAGGAGUCUCCACAAUACCAUCAGAGCUGCAGAGGCUUCAGAACGCGGAUUGAUCGGAGCGUGCGAUAGGAUUAAUCGUACAACUGAGAGUGCCUGCCGAAGUCCGUCGAACCCAUUCGAAUCUUUUCGGUGUUUCGGCUGACGGUGUCCGAUUGAGGUUUCAUCUCCUCGCCGUGCAACUCGUUUGGAACUUCCAAUUAAACUGGGUUCAGCAGCCAGUUCAGUGCAGCAUUAGGCACUGGUAGAUCCAUAUUUAGAACAUUAACCAAAGAUAGAUGUGGCGCAUUCUAGUGGCCAGCUUUCGACGCCGACCCAAGUUCAAGACGACUGUUGACAAUACUAGGAAGUCGCCAAGGACGUUCUUCGCAGAGGACGGACCGCUUUCAUCACGGUCCGAUGGUUGUGUGGUGUGGAGCCUUUCUUCGCUACUUUUAACAAAGCUCUUGCUGCUGUUGUGAAAGAUCUCUUCAAACUUUCGCAAGCACGAUCUCGUUGGCACGUAGCCAACAUAUUCGAUGCUGCUGAUGUUUAUGACGAGGCCACAGCAACCAGCCCUGUCUGACUCCAUUGAUCGGACGCCGCAGGGCCUCACAAGUAGAUCAGCUUCUCCCAGUCAAGCACCGGGUCUCCACCCAGUCAAAUUCACUUGCUCAUUUCAUAUUGUUUUAAUAACCAGUUAAUAAAAAAAACAGUAAUUUCUCACUUUGUAUGUUUAUAAAGAUAGAGAAAAAUGAAAGUGGUUGUAACGUGAAAGUGUGGACUGUAUGUUAAAGAGUAACUUGA